GACCCCUUCGGGUUAUAGGGUCAAGCAAUGAAGCGCACACGGUGGAUGCCUAG
rnacentral:rRNA from 1 species